rnacentral:rRNA from 1 species
CCUACGGGUGGCUGCAGUGGGGAAUAUUGGGCAAUGGGCGCAAGCCUGACCCAGCAACGCCGCGUGAAGGAAGAAGGCCUUCGGGUUGUAAACUUCUUUUAUCAGGGACGAAGCAAGUGACGGUACCUGAUGAAUAAGCUACGGUUAACUAAGGGCUAGCAGCCGCGGUAAAACGUAGGUGGCAAGCGUUAUCCGGAUUUAUUGGGUGUAAGGGGCGUGUAGGCGGGAGUGCAAGUCAGAUGUGAAAACCAUGGGCUCAACGCGUAGCGUGCAAUUGAAACUGUACUUCUUGAGUGCUGGAGAGGCGAUAGGAAUGCGGGGUGUAGCGGUGAAAUGCGUAGAUAUACGGAAGAACACCAGUGGCGAAGGCGGAUUGCUAAACAGUAACUGACGCUGAGGCGCGAAAGCGUGGGGAGCAAACAGGAUUAGAUACCCGUGUAGUC